UUGGACUGUUACAAAUCAGGUAUGAUAAUGAAUAUUUAUAGCAUGGAAAUGAGCAAACGCUACAAAUCAACACCUUUCCCCCCUAACCGUCCCCCAUUUUGCUUCUGAGCCAAGUGUUAAACAUUUGCCAGCACACCACUGGAUGUUAACUGUAUUUUGACAAUAGGAAAGAGAAGAAAUGUGAUCAUACCAAAGAUGCUGAAAAAGCAUUUGAUGAAAUUGUGCAGCCAUUGCAAAUAAAAAGGAGUGGAAGGAAAUUUUUAAAUGUGGUAGAAAGUAUUUGUUUGAGGGGUGGCUGGGUUGCUCAGUCGGUUAAAGUGACUGUCUCUUGAUAUUGGCUCUGGUUGUGAUCUUGCAGAGCGUGGAGCCUGCUUGGGGUCCUCUCUCUCCCUCUCUCUCUGCCCCUACUCUGCUUGUGUGCUCCUCUCUCUCUCAAAAUAAAUAAAUAAACAUUAAAAAAAGUAUUUGUUUGAAACAGUGAACAUUAUGUUAAAGAGUGAAAUAUGGGAUCCAUUCACAGUAAAGUCAAGAAAAGAUGGGCUUGUUUGUUUUACAUAUAUGUCUAUAUAUGUGUCUCUGUGUGUGUGUUUAUGUAUAUUAAUCACAAAAGCAUUUAGGGUAAUUGCUACUUCUGUUUACCAGGUCCUGCCAGCAUAACGUCAUCAAUGUAAUGGGCCAGUGUGGUGUUCUGUGGGAUGUCAACACGUUUGGAGUCCCUUGGGUGUAUAUUAUAACAAAGAACAGGAGCCGGCAUUGUCCUGAGACAUGAACAGUAAAAUUAAUACUCCCGAUCCUACGUUGAAUGACUGGUUCUCAAAGAAGAGAGCACAGGCUAUGCAAGCAUUAGAAGGAAUUGUGGCAUCAGCGCCCUGAUAAGCAAGUCCAACUUAACUUCUCACAGAUGCCUGGCACACUCAGAUUGGACUGUAAUGACACUUGAGCUUCAUAACUAACUGUCUCCUUCACAUCACGUAGCAGUAAGUACAGGAGAAGAAGAAGGAGGGCUGCAGGACAGAGAGUGGCACAGUCUUCAGAAGCUAUAGCACUAUCUGCGCCCUGAUUAGAAGAUACUUUCAAUUGAAGACACUUUAGUUUUACUCUUUGUGUCGGGGCAUAAACAACUUGAACACCUGCCCACUGAAAUGAAUAGAAUGAAUGUUUUCAUUGCUCCCCAUGCUGAGCAGAUACCAUCGGAUCUUUUGAUCCUGAGCCACUACCAAGCCAGGUAGUGUGUCCAUCACAUAGCCGUUGAUUGCUGGAGGAGAACACGAAGAAGGCUGUUAAAACCUAUUCUCGCGGCACCUGUGUGGCUCGCUCAGUUGAGCGUCGGACUUCGGCUCAGGUCAUGAUCUCAUGGUUCGUGGGUUUGAGCUCCACGUC